rnacentral:rRNA from 1 species
GAGUUUGAUCCUGGCUCAGAUUGAACGCUGGCGGCAGGCCUAACACAUGCAAGUCGAACGGUAACAGAAAGCAGCUUGCUGCUUUGCUGACGAGUGGCGGACGGGUGAGUAAUGUCUGGGAAACUGCCUGAUGGAGGGGGAUAACUACUGGAAACGGUAGCUAAUACCGCAUAACGUCGCAAGACCAAAGAGGGGGACCUUCGGGCCUCUUGCCAUCGGAUGUGCCCAGAUGGGAUUAGCUUGUUGGUGGGGUAACGGCUCACCAAGGCGACGAUCUCUAGCUGGUCUGAGAGGAUGACCAGCCACACUGGAACUGAGACACGGUCCAGACUCCUACGGGAGGCAGCAGUGGGGAAUAUUGCACAAUGGGCGCAAGCCUGAUGCAGCCAUGCCGCGUGUAUGAAGAAGGCCUUCGGGUUGUAAAGUACUUUCAGCGGGGAGGAAGGGAGUAAAGUUAAUACCUUUGCUCAUUGACGUUACCCGC